rnacentral:rRNA from 1 species
AGAGUUUGAUUAUGGCUCAGGAUGAACGCUGGCGGCGUGCCUAACACAUUCAAGUCGAACGGACGCGUCCCUCGGGGAACAAGUUAGUGGCGGACGGGUGAGUAAUGCAUGAGCAACCUGCCUCAAAGAGGGGAAUAACACAGAGAAAUUUGUGCUAAUACCGCAUAAUGUGUAGAGAAGGCAUCUUCUAUGCAAGAAAGGAGCAAUCCGCUUUGAGAUGGGCUCAUGUCUGAUUAGACAGUUGGCGGGGUAACGGCCCACCAAAUCUACGAUCAGUAGCCGGACUGAGAGGUUGAACGGCCACAUUGGGACUGAGACACGGCCCAGACUCCUACGGGAGGCAGCAGUGGGGAAUAUUGGACAAUGGGCGAAAGCCUGAUCCAAGCGACGCCGCGUGAAGGAAGAAGGUCUUCGGAUUGUAAACUUUAGUGAGCAGGGACGAUAAUGACGGUACCUGCAGAGCAAGCCACGGCUAACUACGUGCCAGCCGCCGC